rnacentral:rRNA from 1 species
GUGGUAAUUCUAGAGCUAAUACAUGCUAAAAACCUCGACUUCGGAAGGGGUGUAUUUAUUAGAUAAAAAACCAAUGCCCUUCGGGGCUCCUUGGUGAUUCAUGAUAACUUAACGAAUCGCAUGGCCUUGCGCCGGCGAUGGUUCAUUCAAAUUUCUGCCCUAUCAACUUUCGAUGGUAGGAUAGUGGCCUACCAUGGUUUUAACGGGUAACGGGGAAUUAGGGUUCUAUUCCGGAGAGGGAGCCUGAGAAACGGCUACCACAUCCAAGGAAGGCAGCAGGCGCGCAAAUUACCCAAUCCCGACACGGGGAGGUAGUGACAAUAAAUACUGAUGGUGGGUUCUUUUGGAUCUACCAAUUGGAAUGAGUACAAUUUAAAUCCCUUAACGAGGAACAAUUGGAGGGCAAGUCUGGUGCCAGCAGCCGCGGUAAUUCCAGCUCCAAUAGCGUAUAUUAAAGUUGUUGCAGUUAAAAAGCUCGUAGUUGAACUUUGGGUCUGGCUGAUCUGUCCUCCUAAUCGAGCGCACGGAUUCGGUCGGACCUUUCCUUCUGGGGAACCCGAUGCCCUUCACUGGGCGUCGCGGGGAACCAGGACUUUUACCUUGAAAAAAUUAGAGUGUUCAAAGCAGGCCUUUGCUCGAAUACAUUAGCAUGGAAUAAUAGAAUAGGACAUCGGUUCUAUUUUGUUGGUUUCUAG